rnacentral:rRNA from 1 species
GACGAACCGUGCGACCGUUAUUCGGAAUCACUGGGCUUAAAGCGCGUGUAGGCGGGACGGCACGUCUGUCGCUGAAAUCCCCCGGCUUAACCGGGGAACUGGCGGAGAUACGACCGUCCUGGAGGGGCGUAGGGGGACCUGGAACUUCCGGUGGAGCGGUGAAAUGCGUUGAGAUCGGAAGGAACGCCCGUGGCGAAAGCGAGGUCCUGGAUGCCUACUGACGCUGAGACGCGAAAGCCAGGGGAGCGAACGGG